rnacentral:rRNA from 1 species
UACGUAUGGUGCAAGCGUUAUCCGGAUUUACUGGGCGUAAAGGGAGCGCAGGCGGUGCGGCAAGUCUGAUGUGAAAGCCCGGGGCUCAACCCCGGUACUGCAUUGGAAACUGUCGUACUAGAGUGUCGGAGGGGUAAGUGGAAUUCCUAGUGUAGCGGUGAAAUGCGUAGAUAUUAGGAGGAACACCAGUGGCGAAGGCGGCUUACUGGACGAUAACUGACGCUGAGGCUCGAAAGCGUGGGGAGCAAACAGG